AAUAAACUGUUUAAACUUUGUUUUUCAAAUAGUUUUACCUUGUUAUUUACGAAAUCUCAGUUAAGGUGAAAAUAUAAUACUUUAUGUAUCUGGAUUUUUAAAGCAAAAAAUGAAAUAAACUUUUGAUUAUCUCGUUUAAGCUUUAUUUAAACUUUAAAUAAUUAAGUUUCUACCAUUUUUUUUACAUACGGAUUACUUCUGUUGUUUUGACAAUUGAUACAAUUUUGAAAAAUUCAUGUUACGCAUUGACAAAUUGAUAACGGAUUUAUAUAAAGUGAAGCUUGUUCAAAACUAAAAUAUAACGUUAUUUAUGAUUUUAUCAAUGAGAAGCAAAUAUCACCUCUGGAUUAAAAAAAGAACGAUUCGUUAAUAACUGAUAUAAGACAAUCGACAGUUAAUUGAAGAACGUGAGUAAAAAAACACGUGAGUGAAUUGAAAAACAAAGGUUAAUUGAAAAAAAGAAAUAUGCAAGUGAAUGAUAGACUUUUACUUUCACAUUCAAAAUGAUGAAAGUUUUGAAAAUUCUACUUGUGAUGUGCUUGUUCAUAUCGAAAAGUCAAACUAUUGUAACGGACAAUCAUCCAAGUAACAAGUUCAGGACCCUUUGCGACUGGGGAUGCAUCGACUUAAACAAAACCCUUAACUUGUGUGAAUAUUUGUGUCAUGUACUUUCUCAUCAAAGUUCGACAAAACUCGAUGAUGAGGCAAAAUGUCAAAGUGAAUGUGCUGUUAAAUAUAUCAGCUGCAUAAAAACCUGUUAGAAUAAAAAAGACAACGUAUAAAAAACCAAUGUGUUCCAGUUUUCAUUUAUGGAUACAAAGACUUUUAGUCUAUGAACAAACUUUUCCAAAGUUUAGGUUAUUGUGUAAUAAUUAUGACAUUCCGUUUGAUAAACGGGCAAUAAUUCUAUUGAACUAGAUAUGGUGGAGAUGGAAUUACACGAAAGGACUGGAAACAACUAACUCAUUUAAUAAACUUUUACACAUUUAUCUAUCAAACUUUUGCCACUGCCAUGUAAUUUUUGUUGUUGAAUACCGUUUGAACUGAAACCUGUUUACACGUGUUUUUGAGUGGGGUUCAUUGCUUAAUGUUCACGAAACACAACUCUUGAAAAAUAUCAUUAACACAGUGAUAAUAAAUAACAAAUGGA